GAUGAAGAACGCAGCGAAAUGCGAUACUUGGGGUGAAUUGCAGAAUCCCGUGAACCAUCGAGUCUUUGAACGCAAGUUGCGCCCGAAGCCAUUAGGCCGAGGGCACGCCUGCCUGGGCGUCACACGUCGUUGCCCCCCCAUCUACUCCUUCGGGAUUGCGGGGGGCGGAUGAUGGCCUCCCGUGCGCCUCGUCGCGCGGUUGGCAUAAAUGCCAAGUCCUCGGCGACGCACGCCACGACAAUCGGUGGUUGCGAAACCUCGGUUGCCCGUCGUGUGCGGUCGUCGCGCAUCGAGGGCUCGAAAAAAUUGUCGGGCUCCGGCUCGGCUUUCAACGCGACCCCAGGUCAGGCGGGGUUACCCGCUGAAUUUAAGCAUAUCAAUAAGCGGAGGA
rnacentral:misc_RNA from 1 species